GACGAACGCUGGCGGCGUGCUUAACACAUGCAAGUCGAGCGGUAAGGCCCUUUCGGGGGUACACGAGCGGCGAACGGGUGAGUAACACGUGGGUGACCUGCCCUUAGCUCUGGGAUAAGCCUGGGAAACUGGGUCUAAUACCGGAUAUGACCUCAUGACUCAUGUUGUGGGGUGGAAAGCCCUGUGCGGCGUAGGGAUGGGCCCGCGGCCUAUCAGCUUGUUGGUGGGGUAAUUGCCUACCAAGGCGACGACGGUAGCCGGCCUGAGAGGGCGACCGGCCACACUGGGACUGAGACACGGCCCAGACUCCGUACGGGAGGCAGCAGGU
rnacentral:rRNA from 1 species